AAGACUAUACUUUCAGGGAUCAUUUCUAUAGUUUCUGACUUGGAAAUUUGGUUCGAAAGUGUUACGUCUCUCUAACCACGAUGACGAGUUGAAGUGCUUUUUUCUGAGCGUGAAUCGGAUGAAAAACGAUGAAUAAAACCAUCUGUUUUUUAUCAUUGAUGACCGUUUCUGCUGUGUUUCACAGUUAGAAGGAAGAAAGCAUGUUCAGAGCGGU